AUGAGAGUACCAAAUCCCCGGAUGAGCACAUGGCGUUGUUUGUGGCACAAUGUAGAGUCGAGUACUGAAUAGGUCGGCAUUACCUGAUUGGCUGAAAUGAGCACCGUAGAGGACUUUCAUCUUUCAGCUUCCUCAGCCUCGCGAGAGUUGGGUACCUGCUCAGCGGGGGCAUUUUCUCGAUACAAGAAGAAGACGGAGACUCGCUACCCACCCGAUAUAUUUUGUCGGACAGUUUUCUGUACAUAGCAGUCACAACUGUAUCCAGGUCACAUCAAAGGAAUGACAGUUUCUCACUCCCUGGAAUUCUACUUAAUGGAGGGAGGUGUCAUUAAUUAAGAUUGUCACAGCUUCCAAGACACUGAAGUGACAGGCCUAAAAUUUUAUA